UCCUGCUGGAUUUGGGCAGCAGGCUCUGCACAUCCCCUCACCCUGCGGCUGCCGGUGUGCCGGGAGGGAAGGAGAGAGGAUGGUCUGCUGGGACUUCAGAUACAGACUGCACACCUGUCCUAGGUUAUAAUAUUGGGGUGUAUUCCAUCACCACCUCAAGCUGCAAUCCCUUUCUUUCCUUAUCUCGUGACUCAGAGAAAAGUCCCUCCAGGAGGAGCUGUUCUUUACCACAUGACUGAUAAGAUCACAGCAUUCUGUUGUGAGAUGCUCCGCCCAGAGGGAGGAGCCAAACGAUGCCAUCAAGGAUGUAAGUGGGGUUGUGCAGACAGCAAGGAGAUCCCCUCUUCCAGGAGGAACAGCUGAGACCUUCUCUACAAUGGACCUCCAGAGGGAAACUCCAUCAGUCUACAAGAGCACAGCUUGGACAGAACCAUAUCUGCUACCACCGCCCCAGCCAGCAAGUGUCAGGCUGUAUCUCUAACUCUGACAACACCUCUUCACCUCUGGCUGCCAGUGUGCCACGGAGACCCCAGGGACAGACCCUGCACGGAGACCCCAGGGACAGACCCUGCACAGAGACCCCAGGGACAGACCCUGCACGGAGACCCCAGGGACAGACCCUGCAGCCUUCUCCCUCCUCAGCUACCAGAAAAAAGCUACAGCUCCAUGUUGAGCCCCCUGCCCAGCUGAUCUUUUUAAUAAAGAGCUGAACA